AGAUGCAUGGCUCAAAGGCAGAGCGCACCUGUGAAGCAGGUGAGGUUGUUGGUUCAAUUCCAACUGUAUCAA
rnacentral:tRNA from 1 species